rnacentral:rRNA from 1 species
AUUGAACGCUGGCGGCAUGCUUUACACAUGCAAGUCGAACGGCAGCGCGGGCUUCGGCCUGGCGGCGAGUGGCGAACGGGUGAGUAAUACAUCGGAACGUGCCCAGUAGUGGGGGAUAGCUCGGCGAAAGCCGGAUUAAUACCGCAUACGACCUGAAGGUGAAAGCGGGGGAUCUUCGGACCUCGCGCUAUUGGAGCGGCCGAUGGCAGAUUAGCUAGUUGGUGGGGUAAAGGCCUACCAAGGCGACGAUCUGUAGCUGGUCUGAGAGGACGACCAGCCACACUGGGACUGAGACACGGCCCAGAGUCCUACGGGAGGCAGCAGUGGGGAAUUUUGGACAAUGGGCGAAAGCCUGAUCCAGCAAUGCCGCGUGUGUGAUGAAGGCCUUCGGGUUGUAAAGCACUUUUGGCGGGAACGAAAAGGACUGUGCCAAUACCACGGUUGGAUGACGGUACCCGGAGAAUAAGCACCGGCUAACUACGUG